rnacentral:rRNA from 1 species
GUCCACAGCCAUUCCACUCUGGGCACUCCUGAUCUCAUCUCAUCUCUGAAGCCAAGCAGAGGCAGGUCUACUUAGUACUUGGAUGGAAGAACUGCAGACA